rnacentral:lncRNA from 1 species
UUCCCUCCCUCUCUCCCUCCUGGCUCUCUCAUCCUCCCUCUCUCUAUUUCAAUACACUCUGGCACGACAUGGUACAGACUUGUACUAUACUAUGUCGAUAGCCGACCAGUAUGGGUCACAGUAUCCAUUCGGGUGAACCUUGAUAUAAGCCAAGAUUCACCAUUUAGUACAUACUCCGUAUCGGUGCCACACUAGCACAUUAUCAGUAUGGUACAGUAUGAAAAUUUUUUGGCAUUUCGAUUCUCGAUACGCCACCUAUACCGGAUACCAGGUACGGAACCGGUACAUUACGGUAUGCCUCGUACCAUCCAGUUCGGGCUUGUACGGCGUACGUUGAUCUGAAUUGAUGUGCUUCAAUUUACAUGGCCUAGAUGGUGUUUAUCUAAUCUUUAUCAAUUUUCUAUUACAUUUAAAUGAUUAUAUCUGCACUUAUUUUGUUUUUGCCUUCUAGGUUUCUAUGACAUAAUUUUUGAGGUCAAUGUUAUUGAAGGUUAUGUAUUGUAAAUUUUAAUUUAUACUGGAUUAUUGAGGUGAAAACCCUCCCACUUCCUGCUUUCCUCAUAGUGAAACCUCCUUUGACAUUCUAAGUAAUAGUACUCCACCAUGACUUAUUGUUCUAUUUGAGUACUUUGGUUUGCUGAUUUUGUCUUUGGGUUGAUAUUUGUGCCAUUAAUAUAUCAAUUUCCAGGUGGUCAUUAGAUCACAGCAAUGAAAUGUAGAAGGCUGAUGCUUGCUUUACAGUCUUAGAAAUCAUAUCAAACGAUAGGUUCCAAAUUUGAUAUUUGUGAGUGGUUACCUCUAAAUUGGAAUGGUAGGCUGGUAAGGACUCCAAGGCAAACUGCAAGUAGCUGGUGCUAGUGUUGCUGAUUAUGUUUAUGAUUUCAUUUCUUCCUAUUAUGUACC